rfam:Brachypodium distachyon strain Bd21 chromosome 2, whole genome shotgun sequence.
UCAUUACUUUCUCCGUCCAACAAAGAAUGUCUCAAUUUUGAUUAAAUUUUAAUACAUCUAUACCGUAAGUAGAUACAUCCAAAUUUUGACAAAUUUGAGACAUCUUUUGUUGGAUGGAGGGAGUAUAUA